AUUGAACGCUGGCGGCAGGCCUAACACAUGCAAGUCGAGCGGAGCGGCGGCCGGGUUAGUAAUGACUAGGAAUCUGCCUGGUAGUGGGGGAUAACGUCCGGAAACGGGCGCUAAUACCGCAUACUAUCAGAUGAGCCUAGGUCGGAUUAGCUAGUUGGUGGGGUAAAGGCCUACCAAGGCGACGACCCGUAACUGGUCUGAGAGGAUGAUCAGUCACACUGGAACUGGAACACGGGCCAGACUCCUACGUGAUGCAGCAGUGGGGAAUGUCGGACAAUGGGGGAAAGCUUGAUCCAGCCAUGCCGCGUGUGUGAAGAAGGUCUUCGGAUUGUAAAGCGCUUUAAGUUGGGAGGCGUUACCAACAGAAUAAGCACCGGCUAACUCCGUGCCAGCAGCCGCGGUAAUAC
rnacentral:rRNA from 1 species